AUCUGCAUUUUUCUGAGAUGGCAUCAAGAGGCUGCAAGCAUCCGGCAGACACAGUUUGCUGUGUCUGCGGCCAAUUUAUCAAGACAAGAGCGAAAAAGUACUCUGUGGAAGCAUCUGCUAAGAUGUGUGAGGUCUACAAGGCAUAUUUCGGCAUGCCUGUUCGGGGAUCAAGACACACCUGCGAGCAAUGAAAAAAAACUCUGGAAGGAUGGUACAGAGGGGAAAAGAGAGCCAUGAAGUUCGCUAUCCCAAGAAUUUGGUGGGAACUCACUGACCACUCAAGCAACUGCUACUUCUGCAUGGUGGACCCUUAUAAACGUCGGACUGCAGGUACACCAGGGCGCACUACCACAGGCGGGACUGGCCACAGCGGACCGAGUUCUCUGUGGGGAGGAACAACGUCAAGUGGGAGCCGCUGGUGGACCCCCGGAAGGUGCUGAUGCCACCACUGAACAUCAAAUUGGGCCUUAUGAAACAAUUUGUCAGAGCUGUAAAUAAGGAGUCGGCAGCCUCCAAGUACUUGUAGAUUUGAAGCUUUCGUGACUGCAAGGAUUCAUAAUCUUAGUUUUUUCGGUAAAGUCACGUAGGUAAAAAAAUGACUUCUUCCCUAAGCUGUCUGAGGCAAAGGUCAAAGCCGGUGUCUUCGUCGGACCACAGAAAAAGAAGAUCCUGGAGUGCAAUUAAUUCCACAAGAAGUUCACUAGUAAGGAGAAAGCGGCUUGGGACAGCUUUGUCGCAGUGGUUCGUGGAUUCCUGGACAAUUACAAGGUCGAAAACUAAGUGGAGUUGGUUGAGACUCUGGUGAAGAACUAUGGCACAAUGGGCUGUAGGAUGUCCCUCAAAGUCCAUAUCCUUGAUGCUCAUCUUGAUAAAGGAGAACAUGUGAGCGUACUCGGAGGAACAAGGCGAGUGCUUCCACCAGGAUAUACUGGACUUUGAACACCGCUACCAAGGACAGUUUAACGAGACCAUGAUGGAAGACUACAUUUGGGGGCUGAAUCGUGAAAGUGAUUUACAGUAUAAUCGUGAAUCUCGAAAAACUACUCAAUUUUAAAUAUUUUGUAGUAAUUUUUGCAUUACUUUAGUAUAAAUACUUGUUAAUUUUGAUUGAUAUGUUGUUUUUUCUGACUUUAUUUGAAGGAAAAGACACAAAUUCGGCCAUUUUCUCAUUGAAAAUAGAUACAUUUCAAAAUAUCACUGUCCUGGUCACAAAAGCAAAGUUUGUGGGGAAUAAUAGCCAUUUUCUAUACUUUUUAAGCAUAAGCAAUUACGAAAUAACACUUACUACCCAGAAACAAAAUUGUGUUACACAGUGUUAUCUGCAAUGUUUUUUUUACGUGCAGAUAAGAAGAGUAAAAUCGUCCAUAACCCUGCGAAUAAUAGGAUAUGUGUGUCCUGCAUAUCACUGUGGGACAAGAGGAGUAAUUUUUCUCUUCUUGGUUCUUUCGGUAAAGUCACGUAGAAGGGAAGUAAUAAAAUAAUAAAAAUAAAACAUAAUAAAACAAUUCUCACGACGUUUCGGCCACAACGCAAGCAGCCGUCCUCAGGUGAAAACCAGGUCCGUCGAGGCGACAGAGUCUGAAUGAAACAGCACACGAGCUUGGAGCAUAUAUAUAAGCUGGGCGCAUUGACAAAGGAAUUACUUCCCUUCUACGUGACUUUACCGAAAGAACCAAGAAGAUGAAUCCCUGCAGUCACGAAAGCUUUAAGAGGAGUAAUUCUCUCAAAUAAUUUUCAUGGCCAAUAUUCUUUUAAUAUACGACGUAUAAUUAAAAAGCAUGCAAAAAUGUGAUUUAAAAAAAGGAAAAUCUGAAUGUGAGGCUAAUUAUUAUUUGCAGGUGCUUUAUACAAUGACAAGCAUAUCAUUGGUUCAGUAAUUGGUGGGUAGUAUAGAGUGUAAUUAUUAUGAUUAUAUCAAAGAAGCCUAAGUCUCAUUAAUAUUUUCUCUUAUAUUUAUGUAAUAAUAUUGACUGGAUAAUCAAGUUGUAUUGUGUGCAUUUGGAAUAUGUUCUUGAGCAUUUUGAUUACGUAUAUCGACAUUUUGAUUUUCAUUUUAAUCAAUUUGGACCAUUUUGAAAGCGUAAUUCUGUAUUAUCCAUGUUAUCUGUACCACAAAUAUCUGUCCUUUACCACUAAUGCUUGGAUAUCUUCUACACAAUGUAUGUCUCUCACAUGUGUCUAUAUGAGCGCUCCAAUUCCGAUUUAUUCUCGCUGUACAGUUAAUGGAUUUGAACUGGCUCCAUACUCCAUCAGUUGGGGCUUGCCAUCCAAGCUAAUAAAUGAUUCUUGACAGCACAUUUAAACAAAAUGUCCAGAGCCUACCAUGCUAUGUGCACACACUGCCUAGAAAAACAUAGCAAAGUAGUGCAUCUUCAACACCCAAGAAAAUUGAUAUUCAGUUUGUAUGGUGAAUAGAGAAAAGAGAGAACAUGAAACAGAAGUUGUGGUCUCAGAACGAGGAGGUGAUCCUUCAACGCUGGACAGAGCAAGAUUUCUGAUAAGUGUUAAUUGCAUUUUUAAACAAGAAGCAAAAGAUAAUUUUCUCAGCAGACACGUAUUUGAUUUGCAUAUAGGUAUGAACACGUAUAUUACAGCUUAAUAUGGCCCUGCCGUUUUAAGGAAUAUCCUAGCAGUAAGCAUUCUCGUUUUUAAAUCCUUUAUAUUAAGUUCGCUUGCUUGCUUGCUUGCGUGCUUGCUUGC